CCUACGGGAGGCAGCAGUGGGGAAUAUUGCACAAUGGGGGAAACCCUGAUGCAGCGACGCCGCGUGAGUGAAGAAGUAUUUCGGUAUGUAAAGCUCUAUCAGCAGGGAAGAAAAUGACGGUACCUGAUUAAGAAGCACCGGCUAACGACGUGCCAGCAGCCGCGGGAAUACGUAGGGGGAAAGCGUUAUCCGGAUGUACUGGGUGUAAAGGGAGCGUAGACGGCAGCACAAGUCUGGAGUGAAAUGCCGGGGCUUAACCCCGGAACUGCUUUGGAAACUGUGCAGCUAGAGUGCAGGAGAGGGAAGUGGAAUUCCUAGUGUAGCGGUGAAAUGCGUAGAGAUUAGGAGGAACACCAGUGGCGAAGGCGGCUUACUGGACUGUAACUGACGUUGAGGCUCGAAAGCGUGGGGAGCAAACAGGAUUAGAUACCCGGGUAGUC
rnacentral:rRNA from 1 species